rnacentral:rRNA from 1 species
AGUUUGAUCCUGGCUCAGAACGAACGCUGGCGGCAUGCCUAACACAUGCAAGUCGAACGAAGCCUUCGGGCUUAGUGGCGCACGGGUGCGUAACACGUGGGAAUCUGCCCUUCGGUUCGGAAUAACAGUUAGAAAUGACUGCUAAUACCGGAUGAUGACGAAAGUCCAAAGAUUUAUCGCCGAAGGAUGAGCCCGCGUAGGAUUAGGUAGUUGGUAGGGUAAUGGCCUACCAAGCCGACGAUCCUUAGCUGGUCUGAGAGGAUGAUCAGCCACACUGGGACUGAGACACGGCCCAGACUCCUACGGGAGGCAGCAGUGGGGAAUAUUGGACAAUGGGCGAAAGCCUGAUCCAGCAAUGCCGCGUGAGUGAUGAAGGCCUUAGGGUUGUAAAGCUCUUUUACCAGGGAUGAUAAUGACAGUACCUGGAGAAUAAGCUCCGGCUAACUCCGUG